rnacentral:lncRNA from 1 species
AAGAAAGAAGGAAUCAGGAACAUUGCAGAAGCGACUGAGAAACACAAGGCGUGGGACUGACGUUUCUCUGGUUAAGUUAGCAGACUGGGACCUUCCCUGGAGUUGCAAGGACUCCAGCUGUAGAGGAAACUGCGCUUUGCCCUACCUCGGUUACAUCUGUAAUGACUACUCACUAGAGUUCUGCUAUGCUUCUUAAGGAGUAAACUUCUCCGACCACCCUUGCCGAGUGCUUAGGUGAGCCUCUGGUUUAAUUUUGUUUGAUUCCUGCCGUUUUUACACAUACUUGAGUCUCACUCUCUGGAUUUCUCGUUGUUUAGUACCCAUGAAGCACUCCAUAGCCCUUUGCUGACUAGGUUGCAAACGUGAGCACCACGUUUUCAUGAAUUGGGGAAACUCGAUCUAUCUCUGCCUACUAUGUGGAGGAAAAGAAGAUAAAUCCACACUUGAAGAGAACGUGCACGUGCAUUUCACCGCAUCAGAAUGGCAUGAAGCAAGAGAGAAAAAAUGGCUUAUAAAAAGGCAUAUUCUUCGGCUGGAAAGAUGGCUCAGCAGUUAAGAACAUUUUCCUGCAGAGGACCAGUUCCCACAGGGUGGCUUGCAUGCUUGUAACUUCAGUUCCAGAUCUGACUCUUUCAGCUGGCAUCUGCUGGUGCACUUAAGCUCACACAUUUAUGUAAUUUUUAGAUGCAUAUUCUUAGGGUCACAUAGACUUAAGAAGGUGAAACCUAGGGACCAGUGUUUGUCCAGAUUUUUUAAACAGCUUCUACACUCUCUCGAGUUUGUUAUUCAUUCAGUUUUGCUAUUUCAUGCGGGCCCAAGAAUGGGGAACUGCUUCUAGCUCUAUCAGGAAUCCCUGCCAAAUUAUUAAGAUGCAGCUUCCUUCUUAUCUAGGCGGUCCCCAAUUCUGCUUUUUCUAACAAGCUCCCAGGAUAUACUAAUGGCCUUAAAAACAGUUAUGAUUCUCGGGCUGAGCUGCACUUUAGAAUCACCGGGGGAGUUGGUGGAGGUAGAAUCCAGAUACUUAAGACUUAUGCUAGAACAAUUACAUCAACAGCUAGAGUUGGAAACUAGUUAUUCUUUCCCUGAAAUGAUCCAUGGAAAUUCCUGUUUUUCUUUCCAGUAGAGAGAUUUGAAACCAAGGCUUAACAUGCUAGGGAGGAAGACUACUAUUGAGCUAUUUCCAGUCGAUUCUUGCCUCUCCUUUUUGACAGAUUUCACAUAGGACAGGCUGGAUUGGACCUAGAGCUUUGCAGCAGAGAAUGACCUUGAACUUCAAGUCUUCCUGCUUCCAUUUCUCAAGUACUGGAUUUCAGACCAACAGAGCUAACCUUAAGCAGAGAAAAUGGAGCCCAGCAGCUACUCUCCCUCAGAGAACGACAGACUCAUAACAAACCAGACACAGUUCGCACUGUUCAACGUUCUCCCUUGAAGCCCCGGCUCGCAAGUCAGACUGGGUGGUGUGCACUUCUUUUGCUUGCCUGGCAUUGGUCCCUCCCACAGGACACCCGCCUGCCUCACCCUUGCUGAGGACCUAGGCUUGGACCCCUCAUCAAACAUGAAUUAAAACAAUAGGCUCCACCAUGAAUGCAGAACUGGGUGGGUGCUUUCUGUACACACUUUCCAAGGCUUUUACGUGCUUCAUUUUGUGUGGAUGUUUCUUGGACCAAGGUGUCUAGCCUGAGGGACAACAACCCUGUGGGUCUUGUUGGGUCCUGGAGUUUUGUGGUGGCCAUGAUGCUGAUGUUCUCAUGGGGCAGGUGAUGGUGUUAGAGAUAGACAGGGUUUUUCUUAGAUUCCAGGAUAAGAGCAGAAGAGAGCUGGGUCCAUGCUGCUCACACUGGAAGCCCCACAGCUCUGAGUCCUUUGGUUCUUUCAUAAUCACUCACACCCUCUGUUCAGAGCCCGACACUACACAUUUAAUUGUACUCGUUCUAUAAAAGCACUGCCUUUCCCCCUGUAAGUAAAAAAGCUGAGUGUGAGGAAGACCUUUCUGCCCGUUUAGGGAAGCAGCAGCAUGGAUGCUGGGGGAGGCAGGCUAAGGUUCUUCAUCCUUUUUCUUGGAUGCUAUGGCCUUGGGCCAAAGGCAAAGCAUGGAAGGCUGCCUCCACCACACCACAACUUCCUGGCUGGAUAUCUGUCACUUCAGAAGCUCCAGUCCUUUAUGUCCUUUCAGUGGAUGGUCACCUGGAGUGCGGGCUCCUUCAGGUAGACAUGGUGCCACUUUUCUCACCCUUGACCUUGAGGAACUCGGCCAUGCUAGAGAAAUACUUCUGGUUGGCCUCUGCCACCUUCUUCUCGGCUGCUUGUGGGUUCACAAUCUCUAGACCCUGGGUUGGAAAGGAAGAGGGUGACAGGUGAAGUUGGGAAGCUCAGGCCUCCCUCUAGAUGAGAACCAGACAUGUCAGAGUCUCCCAGACACUCUUGUGGACAUGGAACCAUUUACAGUCCCUGAAGUCUCCCUCAGUUUGGGAGAUUUUUGACACAGUGGGUGUUGGGGUAGGUCUUAGAUGUCAGGACUGUUAAUCUCCUCAGGUGAUGUUAAAAUCACCACUCCUGCCUGGUUCUGGAUAAGGAAACUGAAUCCCAGAGGGAUAUGGCCAGCCAGUUUCCUGCAAAUCCCACCCAUGACAGUGAUGACAAUGCUGGCACUAUAUUGAAUAUUUCCAAUCCUCUUGCUGGGCUUCCC